rnacentral:rRNA from 1 species
CCUACGGGAGGCAGCAGUGAGGAAUAUUGGUCAAUGGACGGAAGUCUGAACCAGCCAUGCCGCGUGCAGGAAGACGGCUCUAUGAGUUGUAAACUUCUUUUGUACAAGGGUAAACCUGGAUACGUGUAUUCUGAUGAAAGUACUGUACGAAUAAGGAUCGGCUAACUCCGUGCCAGCAGCCGCGGUAAUACGGAGGAUCCGAGCGUUAUCCGGAUUUAUUGGGUUUAAAGGGUGCGUAGGUGGAUUGAUAAGUUAGAGGUGAAAUGUUGGAGCUUAACUCGGGAACUGCAUUUAAUACUGUUAAUCUAGAGAGUAGGAGCGGUAGGCGGAAUGUGUGGUGUAGCGGUGAAAUGCUUAGAUAUCAUACAGAACACCGAUUGCGAAGGCAGCUUACUAAUCUAUAUCUGACGUUGAGGCACGAAAGCGUGGGGAGCAAACAGGAUUAGAUACCCGUGUAGUC